ACCCAGACUCCUACGGGAGGCAGCAGUGGGGGAUAUUGCACAAUGGGGGGAACCCUGAUGCAGCGACGCCGCGUGGGUGAAGAAGCGCCUCGGCGCGUAGAGCCCUGUCAGCGGGGAAGAAAAUGACGGUACCUGAAGAAGAAGCCCCGGCUAACUACGUGCCAGCAGCCGCGGUAAUACGUAGGGGGCAAGCGUUAUCCGGAUUUACUGGGUGUAAAGGGAGCGUAGACGGCCAUGCAAGCCUGGAGUGAAAGCCCGGGGCCCAACCCCGGGACUGCUCCGGGAACUGUGCGGCUGGAGUGCGGGAGGGGCAGGCGGAAUUCCUGGUGUAGCGGUGAAAUGCGUAGAUAUCAGGAGGAACACCGGCGGCGAAGGCGGCCUGCUGGACCGCGACUGACGUUGAGGCUCGAAAGCGUGGGGAGCAAACAGGAUUAGAUACCCGCGUAAAU
rnacentral:rRNA from 1 species